rnacentral:sRNA from 1 species
GCAGGGUGUGGUGGCACACGCCUGUCAUCCCAGCGGCUCGGGAGGCUGAGGCAGGAGGAUCACGAGUUCAAAGCCAGCCUCAGCAACUUGGUGAGGCCCUAAGCAACUCUGUGAGACCCUGUCUCUA